UCAUCCUUAUAAUUCCAACGAAAAGGACACAGCAUUGGAGUGCUUUGCAAUCUAGCUUCGUGUUCUUUACCCCUCAUCUGUUUUUUUUUUUUCAAUGUGGGUGUCCUGUGCCCCAUUUUCCGAUUUCUUUCCUAUUUUCUGCACGUGGAGGAAUCAGGAAUUCCAUGUGUACCAUUGCCCUCAAGGAUACAUGAGGUAAAUGUGUUAGUUAGGGGGUAAAAACGCCUUAAUUCGGGAAUCUGUAUUUAGAAGAUUUAGUUGCUCUGUAUUAUAAAGAGACCGUGCGCAUGUGACCGAAACGUAUUUAUAAAUGUGAGAACCGACUUCCUCUAUCCGCAUCCGCCAUGCUGAUGCAGGGUGUUGGGACUGGUGUGUGCGCGCGUGCAUGUGUGUGAUUAUCUGUCACAAUUUCGUUUUCUUUACAGCAGCCCCUUUGCUCAGUUGAAUGUCACUUCUCCGUGUCUCUUCCUAUUCCUGGUGUCUGCUCACUUCCUUCUGCAUCCACCUCCUCAUAGCCAUGGCCAGUGUUCCAUGAGGAACCUCUCCGGGAAUCCUGCAAGUGAUAACCAGUUACAGAAGAUGGUAGGCCUCACAGUGCCAGGUCACCGGGUUCCGUCAAAAACUACAGGGACGUAUCUUCCAGCAGGGGACGUUUUCGGAAGAUGUCAAAUCACACAACGAAGGCAAUCGCCCUAUACUUAGGGCCGGACUUUGAAAAUAAAUGAUCUGAAGUCCGUGACCUUGAACUCA
rnacentral:lncRNA from 12 species